rnacentral:rRNA from 1 species
AAACCUGCCUUGGAGAUCGGGAUAGCCCGAGGAAACUCGGAUUAAUACCGAAUACCUUCAUGACAUCGCAUGGUGAUGUGAAGAAAUGUUCAGGCGCUCCAAGAUGGUCUCGCGGCCUAUCAGCUUGUUGGUGAGGUAACGGCUCACCAAGGCGAAGACGGGUAGCUGGUCUGAGAGGACGAUCAGCCACACUGGGACUGAGACACGGCCCAG